GGNGAGUGCUAUACAUGCAGUCGAGCGAAUGGAUUAAGAGCUUGCUCUUAUGAAGUUAGCGGCGGACGGGUGAGUAACACGUGGGUAACCUACCCAUAAGACUGGGAUAACUCCGGGAAACCGGGGCUAAUACCGGAUAAUAUUUUGAACUGCAUAGUUCGAAAUUGAAAGGCGGCUUCGGCUGUCACUUAUGGAUGGACCCGCGUCGCAUUAGCUAGUUGGUGAGGUAACGGCUCACCAAGGCGACGAUGCGUAGCCGACCUGAGAGGGUGAUCGGCCACACUGGGACUGAGACACGGCCCAGACUCCUACGGGAGGCAGCAGUAGGGAAUCUUCCGCAAUGGACGAAAGUCUGACGGAGCAACGCCGCGUGAGUGAUGAAGGCUUUCGGGUCGUAAAACUCUGUUGUUAGGGAAGAACAAGUGCUAGUUGAAUAAGCUGGCACCUUGACGGUACCUAACCAGAAAGCCACGGCUAACUACGUGCCAGCAGCCGCGGUAAUACGUAGGUGGCAAGCGUUAUCCGGAAUUAUUGGGCGUAAAGCGCGCGCAGGUGGUUUCUUAAGUCUGAUGUGAAAGCCCACGGCUCAACCGUGGAGGGUCAUUGGAAACUGGGAGACUUGAGUGCAGAAGAGGAAAGUGGAAUUCCAUGUGUAGCGGUGAAAUGCGUAGAGAUAUGGAGGAACACCAGUGGCGAAGGCGACUUUCUGGUCUGUAACUGACACUGAGGCGCGAAAGCGUGGGGAGCAAACAGGAUUAGAUACCCUGGUAGUCCACGCCGUAAACGAUGAGUGCUAAGUGUUAGAGGGUUUCCGCCCUUUAGUGCUGAAGUUAACGCAUUAAGCACUCCGCCUGGGGGAGUACGGCCGCAAGGCUGAAACUCAAAGGAAUUGACGGGGGCCCGCACAAGCGGUGGAGCAUGUGGUUUAUUUCGAAGCAACGCGAAGAACCUUACCAGGUCUUGACAUCCUCUGAAAAGUGUAGAGAUAGAGCUUCUCCUUCGGGCAGCAGAGUGAACAGGUGGUGCAUGGUUGUCGUCAGCUCGUGUCGUGAGAUGUGGGUAAGUCCCGCACGACGGCAACCUUGAUCUUAUUUGCCAUCAUUAAGUUGGCACUCUAAGGUGGACUGCCGG
rnacentral:rRNA from 1 species